rnacentral:rRNA from 1 species
UGAGGAAUUUUCCGCAAUGGGCGAAAGCCUGACGGAGCGACGCCGCGUGUGGGAAGAAGGCCUUAGGGUCGUAAACCACUGUCGAAGGGGACGAUAAUGACAGUACCCUUGGAGGAAGCCCCGGCUAACUACGUGCCAGCAGCCGCGGUAAGACGUAGGGGGCAAGCGUUAUUCGGAAUCAUUGGGCGUAAAGCGCUCGUAGGCGGAUCGGACAGUCGGUGAAGAAAGACCCGGGC